rnacentral:lncRNA from 1 species
GAAAGAGCUGCGGGGCGCGGGAGGAGGAAGUAGAGCCCGGGACCGCCGGGCCACCACCGGCCGCCUCAGCCAUGGACGCGUCCCUGGAGAAGCUUGGGAGUCUGCUUGUCCAAUCCAGUGCAUACCCGGUUUUUCAUGCAUGUGGCAUUCAGGAGCAAUGCUCGUGUUUUAAGACGGCUACAUUUUAAUUUUGAGCUGAUAGCAGACCCCACGUUAGCUGAAAUGGGAAAAAACUUGAAGGAGGCAGUGAAGAUGCUGGAGGACAGUCAGAGAAGAACAGAAGAGGAAAAUGGAAAGAAGCUCAUAUCCAGAGAUAUUCCAGGCCCACUCCAGGGCAGUGGACAAGAUAUGGUGAGCAUCCUCCAGUUAGUUCAGAAUCUGAUGCAUGGAGAUGAAGAUGAGGAGCCCCAGAGCCCCAGAAUCCAAAAUAUUGGAGAACAAGGUCAUGUGGCUGUGUUGGGACAUAGUCUGGGAGCUUAUAUUUUGACUCUGGACGAAGAGAAGCUGAGAAAACUUACAACUAGGAUACUUUCAGAUACCACCUUAUGGCUAUGCAGAAUUUUCAG